AUUGAACGCUGGCGGCAUGCUUUACACAUGCAAGUCGAACGGUAACAGGCCGCAAGGUGCUGACGAGUGGCGAACGGGUGAGUAAUGCUUCGGAACGUGCCCAGUCGUGGGGGAUAACUAUCCGAAAGGAUAGCUAAUACCGCAUACGAUCUGCGGAUGAAAGCGGGGGACCUUCGGGCCUCGCGCGAUUGGAGCGGCCGAUGUCAGAUUAGGUAGUUGGUGGGGUAAAGGCUCACCAAGCCAACGAUCUGUAGCUGGUCUGAGAGGACGACCAGCCACACUGGGACUGAGACACGGCCCAGACUCCUACGGGAGGUAGCAGUGGGGAAUCUUGGACAAUGGGCGCAAGCCUGAUCCAGCAAUGCCGCGUACAGGAAGAAGGCCUUCGGGUUGUAAACUGCUUUUGUACGGAACGAAACGGCUCUGGUUAAUACCUGGGGCUAAUGACGGUACCGUAAGAAUAAGCACCGGCUAACUACGUGCCAGCCGCCGCCGUAA
rnacentral:rRNA from 1 species